AUUGAACGCUGGCGGCAGGCCUAACACAUGCAAGUCGAACGAGUGGCGGACGGGUGAGUAAUGUCUGGGAAACUGCCCGAUGGAGGGGGAUAACUACUGGAAACGGUAGCUAAUACCGCAUACCAUCGGAUGUGCCCAGAUGGGAUUAGCUAGUAGGUGGGGUAAUGGCUCACCUAGGCGACGAUCCCUAGCUGGUCUGAGAGGAGGACCAGGCAAACGGGAACUGAGACAGGGGCCAGAAGCCUACGGGAGGGAGCAGGGGGGAAUAUUGCACAAGGGGGGAAAGCCUGAUGCAGCCAUGCCGCGGGUAUGAAGAAGGCCUUCGGGUUGUAAAGUACUUUCAGCGAGGAGGCGUUACUCGCAGAAGAAGCACCGGCUAACUCCGUGCCAGCAGCCGCGGUAAUUC
rnacentral:rRNA from 1 species